rnacentral:rRNA from 1 species
UACGUAGGCAGCAAGCGUUGUUCGGAGUUACUGGGCGUAAAGGGUGCGUAGGCGGCUUUUAAGUUUGGUGUGAAAUCUCCCGGCUCAACUGGGAGGGUGCGCCGAAUACUGAGAAGCUAGAGUGUGGGAGAGGAAAGUGGAAUUCCUGGUGUAGCGGUGAAAUGCGUAGAUAUCAGGAGGAACACCGGUGGUGUAGACGGCUCUCUGGACCGUAACUGACGCUGAGGCACGAAAAGCGUGGGUAGCAAACAGG